UACGUAGGGGGCAAGCGUUGUUCGGAAUUACUGGGCGUAAAGGGCGCGUAGGCGGCACAGCAAGUCGGGAGUGAAAGCCCGGGGCUCAACCCCGGAACUGCUUUCGAAACUGCUGAGCUAGAGUACAGAAGGGGCAACCGGAAUUCCCAGUGUAGCGGUGAAAUGCGUAGAUAUUGGGAAGAACACCUGAGGCGAAGGCGGGUUGCUGGGCUGAUACUGACGCUGAGGCGCGAAAGCCAGGGGAGUAAACGGG
rnacentral:rRNA from 1 species